AGACCCCCUCACAUGGCAAUGACAAGCAAAAGGGAUUUUCUUUGGAGCCAUGCUACAGCGUCCAGCCUGUGAAGCAAGUAUCCUCAGAAUCACCAGAGUCCCCUGGAAGGAUGCUUUGGCACUCUUGGCAGUUCUCUGGGUGAACGUUGCUAUGAUACAGUCUUGCGAAGAGCUGACUGCUCACAAGUGAGGGCAAGUGCUAUUUAAGUUGGGUAGCAGUGAAGAGGAGCCAUGUGAGCUGGCUGUCUGAGCCUUGUGAGUCUUCUUUACUUUCCAAGAAGCAAUGAAUGAUUCAACUAGGAGGAAAUAGCUCUACAACACAGCACAGCUGAUAGUGGGUGCUGGGGUCAAACAGAAAUCGUGUCAUCUGCUGUGUUGCUGGUACUGCUAAACUGAAGCCUCUGCUGGUAUCUGAUAUGGAGGUCUUGACUUACACUUUCUAUCAUUGCCAGGGAUGCUGGAUGCUGGAGCUCGUAGAUGACUCUCCAAGAAUUGCCAGUGGUGGAAGAACGCUUCCUCUGAGAUCCAGUCCCUUCCCCAGGACAGUUUGCAACUGGAACAACAUAGAACGGGCUGUGAUGGCCCUUCAGUUCAGCUUUCAUCUCUGCUCAUUCCUGCUUCUCUCGCUCUCCUGGGUGUCCACCGGGAGGGUAGCCCCCCAGUCAACAUUCUCUUGGGGAUUUUUCGUCUCAGGCACCGGUCAAGGAACUUGACCGGGACAUCCGUGCAAACCAUUGUGAAGCUACAGGGGCAGAGCUGUGAAACCAUAGCUGCAGAAACUAGGGAGAGAGUGGAAGGCUGUGUGAAUAGGGCUUUCUAGAGAAGGACAGAGCUGGAGUGAAUAUAGGAAGGUGGGAUCCUGAAAUACCAGGAACUUGUGUCUUCGACUGCAUGCAAAUCUCCCGCCUUUGCUGUUGACCUCAAUUACCCUGACUUCUCCAAGGGAGCAGGGCAGCCAGAGAAGCUGUGUGCCCAACCCAGCGGGCUUGAAUGACAGCGCUGGCAGGACACACGCCCACCAAUGAGGAAGAAUCAGUGUGGACUUGACAAGUCAUGGAUUUGAAGACGCUGGAGGGGACAGAGUGGAGUUUGAGAAGGAAUGUCUGGGCGGAGUCGGGGGCAGAACAUCGCGCCUGGCUCUCUCAAAGGCCAGUCUUGUCUGGGAAGGGCUUACCUUCACCUGGGGCUCCGCGACAUCAGGCCUGGGUGUGUAUGGGAUGCCAGGAGUGAGGAGAGAAGCUGCACGCCUGCUGUGGCCAAGCAGGCUAGCCAAAACGAGCAUCUGCUUCUUCUCUGGACGGUGCUGGAGCAGAGGGAUGAGCCUGCUGCCUGGGAGGAGCAAGCUGCCUGGAGGACAAGGGGCAG
rnacentral:lncRNA from 1 species